rnacentral:rRNA from 1 species
CCCUUAGAUGUUCUGGGCCGCACGCGCGCUACACUGACGAAUGCAACGAGCUUAUAACCUUGGCCGAAAGGUCUGGGUAAUCUCCAAAUUUCGUCGUGAUGGGGAUAGAUUAUUGCAAUUAUUAAUCCUCAACGAGGAAUGCCUAGUAAGCGCAAGUCAUCAGCUUGCGUUGAUUACGUCCCUGCCCUUUGUACACACCGCCCGUCGCUCCUACCGAUUGAAUGGUCCGGUGAAGCGUUCGGACCGUGGCCUUUGGACGGUUCGCCGUCUGUUGGCUGCGGGAAGUUCGUUAAACCUUAUCAUUUAGAGGAAGGAGAANUCGUANCA